AUUGAACGCUGGCGGCAGGCCUAACACAUGCAAGUCGAGCGGAUGAGAGGAGCUUGCUUCUCGAUUCAGCGGCGGACGGGUGAGUAAUGCCUAGGAAUCUGCCUGGUAGUGGGGGACAACGUUUCGAAAGGAACGCUAAUACCGCAUACGUCCUACGGGAUAAAGCCGGGGACCUUCGGUCCUUGCGCUAUCAGAUGAGCCUAGGUCGGAUUAGCUAGUUGGUGAGGUAAUGGCUCACCAAGGCGACGAUCCGUAACUGGUCUGAGAGGAUGAUCAGUCACACUGGAACUGAGACAAGGUCCAGACUCCUACGGGAGGCAGCAGUGGGGAAUAUUGGACAAUGGGCGAAAGCCUGAUCCAGCCAUGCCGCGUGUGUGAAGAAGGUCUUCGGAUUGUAAAGCACUUUAAGUUGGGAGGAAGGGUUGUAGAUUAAUACUCUGCAAUUUUGACGUUACCGACAGAAUAAGCACCGGCUAACUCUGUGCCAGCCGCCGCAGUAAUAC
rnacentral:rRNA from 1 species